rnacentral:rRNA from 1 species
AGACUGAACGCUGGCGGCAUGCCUAACACAUGCAAGUCGAACGGCAGCAUGUCCCCCGCAAGGGGAUGAUGGCGAGUGGCGGACGGGUGAGGAAUACAUCGGAAUCUACCCCGUUGUGGGGGAUAACCCAUCGAAAGGUGGGCUAAUACCGCAUAAGACGG